rnacentral:rRNA from 1 species
GGGGUUCCCUCGGCCCGCGGUUCCGCUUUUGGUCCCGCCUGGGAGUACGGUCGCAAGGCUGAAACUCAAAGAAAUUGNCGGGGGGCCCGCNCACGCGGUGGAGUAUGUGGUUUAAUUCGAUGCANCGCGAAGANCCUUACCUAGGCUUGACAUCCCGAGAACCCUCCCGGAAAGGNGGGGUGCUCCUCGGAGAACUCGGAGNCAGGUGCUGCANUGCUGUCGCCAGCUCGUGCCGUGAGGUGUUGGGNUAAGUCCCGCAACGAGCGCAACCCCUGUUCAUAGUUGCUNCCAGGUAAAGCUGGGCACUCUAUGGAGACUGCCUUGGCVUCAAGGAGGAAGGUGGGGAUGACGUCAAGUCAUCAUGGCCCUUACACCUAGGGCUACACACGUACUACAAUGGCGAGUACAAAGGGUUGCGAAACCGCGAGGUGAAGCCAAUCCCAAAAAGCUCGUCCCAGUCCGGAUUGCAGUCUGCAACUCGACUGCAUGAAGUCGGAAUCGCUAGUAAUCCCGGAUCAGCAUGCCGGGGUGAAUACGUUCCCGGGCCUUGUACACACCGCCCGUCACACCACGAAAGUUGGUUCUACCCGAAGCCGCCAAGCUAACCGCAAGGAGGCAGGCGUCUACGGUAGGGCCGAUGAUUGGGGUGAAGUCGUAACAAGGUGCGUACUCCAACAUAGGGCCGCUCAGCGCCAUU